UUGCGAUUAGCUCAGUGGUUAGAGCGUCGGUCUGUUAAACCGAAUGUCAUGGGUUCGAAUCCCAUAUCGUAAGCCA
rnacentral:tRNA from 2 species